rnacentral:rRNA from 1 species
UACGUAGGGGGCUAGCGUUGUCCGGAAUCAUUGGGCGUAAAGCGCGCGUAGGCGGCCCGGUAAGUCCGCUCUGGAAGUCCAGGGCUCAACCCUGGAAUGCGGGUGGAUACUGCCGGGCUAGAGUCCGGAAGAGGCGAGUGGAAUUCCUGGUGUAGCGGUGGAAUGCGCAGAUAUCAGGAGGAACACCAAUAGCGAAGGCAGCUCGCUGGGACGGUACUGACGCUAAGGCGCGAAAGCGUGGGGAGCAAACAGG